rnacentral:snRNA from 1 species
ACUUCUGUUAAAGGAUAUAUCUGA